rnacentral:misc_RNA from 1 species
UCACUACUUGCGUAGGCAGUCCACUUAGAGUGCCCAGCAUUACCUGAUGGCAACUAAGUGCAGGGGUUGCGCUCGUUGCAGGACUUAACCUAACACCUCACGGCACGAGCUGACGACAGCCAUGCAGCACCUGUACAAGUGCCCCUUGCGGGGAGAGCGACUUUCAUCGCCUGUCACUUGCCUUUCAAACCCAGGUAAGGUUCUUCGCGUUGCAUCGAAUUGAACCACAUGCUCCACUGCUUGUGCGGGCCCCCGUCAAUUCCUUUGAGUUUCAACCUUGCGAUCGUACUCCCCAGGUGGGAUGUUUAACGCGUUAGCUCAGGCACCGAUCCCGCUCAGUACUUGCGUACAAGUACUCAGCGGGACCGACACCGAACAUCCAUCGUUUAGGGCGUGGACU